rnacentral:rRNA from 1 species
UGGUGGAGUGAUUUGUCUGGUUAAUUCCGAUAACGAACGAGACCUUAACCUGCUAAAUAGCAAUGCUAAUCAUCUAAACAGGUGAAGCUUGUACUUGUUUGGCCGCAAGGUUAGGCAGUUGCAGGUGAAUCCUUGAUGUUUUGGUACUUUUACUUCUUAGAGGGACUAUCGGUGUUUAACCGAUGGAAGUUUGAGGCAAUAACA